rnacentral:lncRNA from 1 species
GGCACAGAGCCGCAGUCUGGGGCUGGGCUGAGUCCCCAGCCCAACUGCACCAGAGGUCCGGAUCCUGCGGGAGGCUCAGAGCUCCGUUUACCCAGCCACCACACGCAUGUUGAGGACUCAAGGAUCUCCAACUCAAGUCGCGCACAAGGGAGUGACAGCCGGCCCUGUGGAAUUCGCAUGGUAGUCACCCCUUGCCUUGGAGACUCGGUCAAAACCAAGACAAAGAUAUGUUUAUUUUUAUAUCCAGUGUGCCAAAGUCAGAACAUAGAGAUGAUCCAAGGGGAAAAGAGGGUAAAAAAUAAGUGAGGGAUGCUCAAAGCAAAUCAGAGAGAAAUUUCAGUGUUUCACAUGUCCCUUCUACAUUCACAGAGAUGCCUGGACUCAGCCUCUGGAAUGGAUCCCUUCUGUCCUGGAGGAGUUACACAAAGGGAUUUCACAAUCACAGGCACAUGAGCUGGUGAAGGCUGAGCCUGCAGGCGUGGUGGAUGACUGCAAAACCCAGGAGUCACUUGGUCUCGUGUCCAGACCUGACAUUUUGGGGAAAUCAAGGAGGACCGUGAGUGCACCGGGACAGAACACGUAAACCCCGACUUUCCUGCAAGAGCUGAAUACCUGCGUGGCCCUGACUGGCUGUGGAACCCAGCGAUGAAGUUGAUUUCUGGAUGAGGUCAGUGGAGAUGGGCCAUCAGGAGAAGUCAGUGGGGCCCAUUGGUAGUUACGGUGACCGUAAGCACAGAGACACUUAACAUUGCUUCUAGGUGCAAGACUUUAUACUUUAAAAUCAUGCUUUAAAAGGCAUCUCACCAGAAAUGGAGAUUUCUAUGAAGGGUCCUAGGAGAAAAUAUCAUCACUGAUCUUGAAAUAAGCAUAGCUGCAUUAGUACAGUUUAAACGAACAAAUAAAAAUACUAACUAGAAAGAGUGGUCUAUAUGCCAAACACCUAUGUGCUUUACUUGGAAAAGAUCUGAUAAAGAUGCUGCACUGGGGGUACUUAAGAAGAUAAGGAGAAUUGUUUAGAAAAGGGGCUCAGCUGGGAUGCUCCAGAGUCCAGGGAGAGAGAGAAGGGGAA